GUUUACAAGUUUCCCUCAUCACCAUUUUAAACCGAGUGGAAAUAAAAUAAUAAUAAUACAAGUAAACUGCUUGAGGUGAGAUGGAUUGAUAUUGAAAUGUAGUAUAAAUACUGUUUCGGGUAUGCUGGAGUGCGAUACAUCAGCGUGCAUGUACUUUAUGGAUGGCGCCGUCAUGUAUAAUGUACAUGCACGCUUCAGACGCUUUGUAUGGACUUAACGUUGUUAUUAAGCUUUAUUAUUAUGAUGAUUUUUAUUGAUUUAUUAUGAAGCUCGCGUUCGCAAGGUAUUCGCUGUCCUUACAUGUAUAGUCUCUCAUUUAUGAUUAAUGUUAACACAUAACGUUAGUUUAACCAAACACGUCUUUAGUGAUGUGCCUAAACACUUAUUUUAACGUAUCGCGUCGACCAGCUUACCCAGUAAAGAAGUCGUCUGUUUACUUUUAUGUGAGCCAGUUUGUUAUUUCUCUUUGUCUUUUGUAGGAUGGGGUACAGCUGAACAACAAUUAUGACAGGUUUUGAAUAAACCAGUCACAUGAAAAACAUUAAUGCCGAAUUUUUGCGCAUCACGACCCUACAUUUACAAUCGAGAAUUAUGGCCUCUUUGGACAGACAGAGCUCUCAGCUUCUCCAGGUUAUUAGGAGCAAAGGUGGAGUCCUCCAUGAAAAACGUUCAAGUUAUGGAUCAGAGUCUGGACAUAUGCAUCAGAAGAGAUCAUGUACCUUGGUGAAGAUGCAAGCUGUCUGAUCAAAGAAUACCAGGCUGACCAGAGGGAGGAAGCGGAGAGAGAAUUUGAAAAGACCACCAUGGCAUUUUUUGUAAUCUGCGAAAGUGAUGCUCUUAGUUGUGCACUGGACAUUUCCAUUGUCACUGACGGUGUGGAAGUACUAAAUGAGUUGCUCUCUGUUGCAUGUGCUUGUGCCAUAAUGUUUGGACACAUUUAUGCACUGAACUUAAAAUAUCCUGAAGGACUCAAAUAUACCUUUGAGGCCUUUCAAAA